rnacentral:lncRNA from 13 species
ACCAGUAACUUUUGACGACCAGUCAAGGAGAUAAGAAAAAUCUGAUGGAAAUGGAAACCAAGAAAUCUACCUACCAAAGUUGUCCGAAGCAAUCAGUUAUCAGGCAAAGAGACAGAUUGAGGCCUUCAAUCAAACGGAGGACUGAGAAAUAUGCAUGCACCAGUGCAUGCAUUCAGCAAGCGUUCGACAGGAUUUCUACAGGGCCGCCAGACUGUUUACUUCUACAAAGUAUGAAGACACCAAAGGAUCUAUUGAAGAACCCACGAACCUCAGAAACGUGGUCAAGAGGCAUAAUGUGGUGCACAACUCUCCUGGAGUGCUUUGAGUGCAAUUACCUAACACUUGGAAGAGUGUGAGAAGGAGUGAAGAUAACCCGAAAAGUUGCAUACUCAGACAGUGUUGUAAGACGCUUCUCGUGUCUACUGCUGGCGCAUUAUAAUGUUGUUUUAAUGUCGGAAUGGUGAUGGGAGUAGGAAAAACCAUCUUUUAUCUUUUUGGGGAAAUUAUAUUUCGUUCUGUUUGUAAAAUCUCAAAAUAGAAGUAUAUAUAAAUGUUUCGUAUUGUACAUAGGCCUACCUGUAUGUAUAUUCAGCUUGUAAAGGGACCAAUGCAAUUUAGAAUACGUUCUUGAAGUACGCUGCAUGGAUUUAUCCAGAUUUGACUUAUAAGCAAGUCUUUCAACUCUGUCCAAUGUACAUUUAAAAAAAAACUUAUUUAUUAAAACACAUAUUUUUGAACAAUGUAGUUGAGCCUUUUGAUUUAUGUUUCCAUAGAAUACCAUAGCAUACCCAUUUCAGACAGAAUAUGUGGUAUAUUAUACAACCUGUAAAAAAAAUAUAUAAGGCAAUGUUUAUAUGACUCCCUUUCAAACAGCCCCUUAUUUACCACUUUCUUGUAUGGUAUAUCCCUUUUAUACAUAUCAGUGGGUAAUAGGCAAAUUGGUAGGGGAGGUGGGUGUUGUUUAUCCAUGGAGGCUGUUUCAUUUCAAAUCAGGGAGGUAUUAAACAAUGGAAGUGUUAAUGAAUUUACCUGCAACAAAGUGUAGAAUCGUUCACACAGACCUGAUACCUGGUAUUUCGGUUACAGGUUCUGUGAAAAUGCAGGAAUCAAUUAGGUGUUUUUGUAUCCGUACCCAUUUCAGAUAUACAAAAAACAGGUAUUUAAACGCAGGCAUGGGUAAAAUAGUGGGAUUUCGGUCUGCAUGGAAAGGUUUUAAUAAUAUAGGCUACAUCCCCUCUAUUUCGAUGUAAAUAAUUCCAGUUUGGCACGCAGUAAAGGAAUAAUCUAAGAUUAAAUAAACUGAUGAAAAAACAUAGGCCUACCUUUUUUUCUCUUGAUAUUUUUCCAUUUUGUUUGAGCUUUAAUUUAGAAAAUAAUUUCAUAAUUCAUUUGUUAUUCGCUGGCAGUGUUUAAGUAAGCGUCUCUUCCACGUUUUCUCCAGAUAAUCUCACAGACUAGGCAAAAAACAAACACCCCUUUCAGUGCUUAUUGUAAGAUUUUAUUUAGGUUUUCUUUCCCCGCUCUUGUUGUGGAAAGAAAUCACCAGCUAAAAGCCGUCAUAAAACCGCAGGGCUUCAUUAACAGUGGGGGAAAUUCGAGCCAUUUUCAAACCAAAGGCAUAUAAAAGGCUUAUCCGCCUUAAUAACAACGAAAUAAUUUAAAUAGCGAUGCCGUGAGGGGAAUUCUUUAAUGAGCAAAGGACCCCGAACAACCGCAGAAAUAACGACAAUAACUAUGGCGCAGCUUUUAACUACCGGGGCUAGUUAACUUUUCGUUUCAAUCUAACAACCACACCAUCAAAGCAUAACAUUUUUGCAUUACAUUUUUCCAGACUUGGUGAAGAUAUACAUCUCAAAAAAGUGAAAGGACCUUAUUGUCAAAUAUGAACACAAUGCGCACACAUUGGGGUCACUCAUUGUUGAGGGUGUUGGAAUUCACUCCAUUUUGAGAAACCUUUGUUACAAUGUGGCUGCUGUUAAUGUGUUGACUAUUUUUGGCUUGCUUGCCUUUUGUGAGUAUGUAGGCCUAUGGUCAUUUUGAGAAAGGUGACUUCCAAAAACGUUCCAUUUCACUGCAAGCGUCUUCAGCAAAUAUCAUGAAAAAUAAUUGGAAAAUAGAAAACUCACCUAUUGUGGUUAAGGAUGUUUAGGCAUGUGUAAGACAAAUUCCUAUUUUGAAGCCUAGAAGCCGGACUGUAAGCUACUGGCAGAAACAUGCUCCAAAAACCUGGAUAAACUUGAUUAAGAUGAGUGUUCAAAUCCUUGUGGAGGAAAUCUGGCAGCGUGUUUGAAGUGGAAGCACCUGCGAUGGACUGCAAUAUAUAUCAUCCAGUUGUGAUGCUCUUGGAGGCUGCAGUAGGCUAGCCUAUAGUCUACUCAAAUAGGAAGCUGUGGCGUGAAGUCACACAGGCCUAGGCUAUUCCCCAUACUCGCACCUGCACAAUAUCCAAUAGCCCUAGGCCUAUAUUCAUUGCAUGCACCUGUUCUGAUUCAUUAAAGCACCAGUAAGAAACAAGCUUUUUACUAUUUUUAACAUGUAUUUUAUAAAAAUGUAUAUUUAUCCAUUUGUAAAUUAACAAUAGCACAGAUGUUUAGCCUUCUUCUAAAUCAUGUUUUCUAUCUUACCGAAAAGGAAAACUUUCACUGGGGACAGGAGGGACAUGACCCCACAUUCUGAAAUUGUAUUUUUAGUUUUUUCAUUGCUCUGUGAUACAAAACUAGCUAUAUGUCAGGCAGCAUAUGGAAAUGUUUUGUAGCCUUUGUUUUGUCCCAUUUCAACAGAAGUACGUUUGAUGAUGUACCAUUGAACCAUUAGCUAGCAAAGCUAUCCAACAGUUGGCUAACGUUAGCUAGUGCACUAACUUUAGCUAUUCUUUUUGCCUCAAUCCCACUAGACCUAAAUCAAACGAUGAAACCAGCGACCAAACAAUUGAAGAUCGAUAUUCGGACGUUUUAUUUUAGCUCAAUGUGAGUUUUCAUUAGUCAGUAAAGCAAUGCAACAUUAUUGAUCUGUCAGUUUCCCUAGCCAAUUCCCUACUUUUCACACUGACAUGGUAUAAACAGCUCAACAGGCUUCACUGUCAUGGGGCACAGUCAGUACACAAUAAUAUGCUCAUCAUGUCUUAGCAGGAUCAGAUGGUGACAGGUGUCCCCCCAGGGUCAGACAGCCAGGGAAGACAAGUCUCCAGAGCUCAGGUGAACUUUUAAGUGUAUUAUAACAAUCAGUGAAUGGACACAAAGUUCCAUCUUGAGUUGGGUAGGCUACAGUCUGGGGUCUGGGAAUAAUUGUAAUUUCAAUUGUUGAGCCAUUGAUUCUAUUCAUGGUUAAUAUAAUGUAUAAAUGUACACCAAUGUAAUUCUUUGUCAUGCCUUAUCUGAGCAGGAUCAGAUGGUGACAGGGGCCUUAUCAGUGUCAGGCAGCCAGGGAAGACCAGUCUGUGAUGGAGCUUAGGUGAAUUCUUGCAGCAACAACACUAUUUUCUCUGUGUAACAAACAGUGGACAAGCAAGAAAGCUUCAACGAUUUAAACUAUUUUAAGGCAGUCUGACAAAAGUCGAAAGUUCAUUUCCAAACUGUCUUUUCCUGAUGACACAAAACAUGUAAAACUAAAAUUUGAGGAAGACAUGGGAGACGCUAUUGAUGAUGACGAAUGGAUACAGAUGCAGUUUAAGACCAUCCAUAGAUAGUUCUGUAUGCCAGUGAAAUGGAAUAUCAUCCACACAGAAAUGUAAUGUCUCUGCUGGAGGAGAAAAACACAAAAGGGGACAUAUUUGUAUAUGGUAUACAAGGCUUGUGUCUUGUGAAGGCUGGCUGAAUUCUACCAAAGAGUAUGUUCUUCUAUUUUAGGAUGUCUACAGAUUGUCCCUUCAACCUUUUUUGUUUGCUUGGAAAUGUUGAUACUGGAGACUGUUAUCAGAGGAAACGGUGUAACCUAGCAUUUACAGUGGCUAAGAAAUGCAUUGCCAUUAAUUUGAAGGUUGGUUAUCCUCCCACAAUGGGUGGAAUAAAUGUCAAGUUAUGUAUCACUAGAUUUGAUUUAAUACAAGAAUAAGGCUAUACUGUGCAACUUUCAUAAGGUCUGAAUGCUUUAUAUGGAAUGCAGUACGACAAAAAAUGAGUCUGUAUUGAAAACAAGCCCAUGUCAGGGGAGAUAACUAUUUAGGCAAUCCCUAGCUGCUGGGCUGCUCAGUCCUGGCCCUGUGUUUCUGAAAUACGCUGGUUAUCACUCUGGCCUUGGCCUAACACCUGAAACCAAUAGUGAAUGUUUCACUAAGAUCCAAAAGAUGAGUGGGGUGUGUUGGGUUGGGCUGCUGCAGGGCCAUGGACCACUAGGGGCAGGACGGGCUGAGCCAGCUAUGUUGUGUGCAAGUAAAAAGAGCUCUACAGUACUAUUAAGCCUAUGAUAUUAAUUAUAUGGAGGAUGUACUGUUUCUGUGUGUUAAUGUGUAGGUGUAUGUGUGUUUUUAUAACACUUUUGUUUUCCAAACCAUUCCUUGAGAAAUAAAAAUAAAGAUGGGAAGGAAGUUGAGAGAGUUGAGUUAUUGACUAGACUGUUGGGGGUUGGGCGUGCAGGCGGCUCAGUCUGGGUCGGCGGUCUGGCUGAAAUUUGAUAUAAAGGAUGUCUUAAUAAAGACAAUCAAAAGUCUUUGUACUUUAUUUGCAAGAGUUGUUCCAUUUUUAGGCUAUUGGUUAAAGGUGCAACACAAUAUUGAUGAUUGAAUUAUCAUUGACCCAGUUCAGUCUUAUUAAUCACUUAAACAUAUUUAAUAAUGAUCUCCUACCUAGCUUUAUGACUGGGCAUUUUUGCUUACUUUAUGUAGUUAUAAAUAUAAUGGCCAUGGGUCAUAUUAGAUUGAGUAGAAAUGCAGGAAAUUAGCUUUAGAUGCCACCCAAAAUGGGAGUACCCCCAGAACCCCACCAAGUUAUACCCCCCCACUUCUAAAACUAAAGUUGCACCCCUGCUUACCAAUGAUGAAGGCUACAUUUCAGCAAUGGAUGGGCGAAUAGAUUUGCAAUCUCUAUGACGAAUUUCAAUCUACUUGUUUCAGGGUCACUCUCAGAUAUAAAGUGGCAAUGAAAUUAUACAUUUAAUAUGGUAGCAAGUGACAUUGAUUAAACUCUAGAACAAGUCAGGCAUGGGAGUUUAUGGAAUGGAAGAGUUUAUAGAUGGAUAACCUAUAUCCAAGUAGCCUCUAUGCACUUUAUAUCUUGCAAGUGUGGAACUAAUCUUGGC